ACGGUGAUAUCACGUGAAAACACCGGUUCUAGUUCGAUCACCGAAGUUAAGCAACGUCGAAACUGGUCAGAACCUAGAUUGGUGACCGAUUGGGAAUACCAGGUACUGAAA